rnacentral:rRNA from 1 species
UCAGGACGAACGUUGGCGGCGUGCUUAACACAUGCAAGUCUGCGAGAAAGUUAUAGCAAUAUAGCGAGUAAAGCGGCGAAAGGGUGCGUAACGCGUAAGCAACUUGCCCAUAGGAUGGGGAUAACGUCGAGAAAUCGGCGCUAAUACCCAAUAAUGCAGCGGCAUCGCAUGAUGAUGUUGUUAAAGGUCGCUUCGGUGGCGCCUAUGGAUGGGCUUGCGUCUGAUUAGUUAGUUGGCGAGGUAACGGCUCACCAAGACGACGAUCAGUAGCUGGUCUGAGAGGAUGAUCAGCCACACUGGAACUGAGACACGGUCCAGACUCCUACGGGAGGCAGCAGUGAGGAAUAUUGGGCAAUGCCCGCAAGGGUGACCCAGCAACGCCGCGUGGAGGAUGACAGCCGUAAGGUUGUAAACUCCUGUUCGGGGGGACGAAUAACCGUCGUUUGCAAAGGCGACGGCUUGACGGUACCCUCAGAGAAAGCCCCGGCUAACUACGUGCCAGCAGCCGCGGUAAUACGUAGGGGGCAAACGUUGUCCGGAUUUACUGGGUGUAAAGGGCGCGCAGGCCGGUCGGUCAGUCAGAGGUGAAAGCCCACAGCUUAACUGUGGAACUGCCUUUGAUACUGCCGAUCUUGAGUGCGGGAGAGAGAAGCGGAAUUCCAGGUGUAGUGGUGAAAUACGUAGAUAUCUGGAAGAACACCGGUUGCGAAGGCGGCUUCUUGGACCGACACUGACGCUGAGGCGCGAAAGCGUGGGUAGCGAACAGGGAUUAGAUACCCUGGUAGUCCACGCUGUAAACGAUGAAUGUUAGAUAUCGGGGGAGGGUUUCCUUCCGCGUCGAAGCUAACGCAAUGCACAUUCCACCUGGGAAGUACGAUCGCAAGGCUGGAACUCAAAGGAAAUGACGGGGGCGCGGCACAACCAAUGGAGCAUAUCGUGUAAUUCGAUGCAACGCGAAGAACCUUACCUAGGCUUGAAAUGAGUAUCGAUCGGUCGUGAAAGCGACCCUACUUCGGGCGGACACACAGAUGCAGCAUGGCAGUCGUCAGCUCAUGCCGCGAGGUGAUGGUGUUAAGUCCAAGCAACGAGCGCGAGCCCUACCAUUAG